rnacentral:rRNA from 1 species
GAUGAACGCUGGCGGCGUGCCUAAUACAUGCAAGUCGGGUGAACAGAUGAGGAGCUUGCUCCUCUGACGUUAGCGGCGGACGGGUGAGUAACACGUGGAUAACCUACCUAUAAGACUGGGAUAACUUCGGGAAACCGGAGCUAAUACCGGAUAAUAUAUUGAACCGCAUGGUUCAAUAGUGAAAGACGGUUUUGCUGUCACUUAUAGAUGGAUCCGCGCCGCAUUAGCUAGUUGGUAAGGUAACGGCUUACCAAGGCAACGAUGCGUAGCCGACCUGAGAGGGUGAUCGGCCACACUGGAACUGAGACACGGUCCAGACUCCUACGGGAGGCAGCAGUAGGGAAUCUUCCGCAAUGGGCGAAAGCCUGACGGAGCAACGCCGCGUGAGUGAUGAAGGUCUUCGGAUCGUAAAACUCUGUUAUUAGGGAAGAACAAAUGUGUAAGUAACUAUGCACGUCUUGACGGUACCUAAUCAGAAAGCCACGGCUAACUACGUG